UGCAGGCUUGGUGUUGGAGCUCCUUCGAGGGGUUCCAGUGCCGUAGCGAAGGUGUUAAGCCUGCUGCUUGGGGAGUACGGUCGCAAGACUGAAACUUAAAGGAAUUGGCGGGAGAGCACAGCAACGGGAGGAGCGUGCGGUUUAAUUGGAUUCAACGCCGGAAAACUCACCAGGAGCGACUGUUACAUGAAGGCCAGGCUGAUGACCUUGCCUGAUUUUCAGAGAGGUGGUGCAUGGCCGCCGUCAGUUCGUACCGUGAGGCGUUCUCUUAAGUGAGAUAACGAACGAGACCCUCGCCCCUAUUUGCUACCCUUCUCUUCGGAGAUGGGGCACUAUAGGGGGACCGCUGGCGCUAAGUCAGAGGAAGGAGAGGUCAACGGUAGGUCAGUAUGCCCCGAAUCUCCUGGGCUACACGCGCGCUACAAAGGACGGGACAAUGGGCUGCGACGCCGAGAGGCGAAGCCAAUCCCGAAACCCGUUCGUAGUCCGGAUUGAGGGUUGUAACUCACCCUCAUGAAGCUGGAUUCCGUAGUAAUCGCGGAUCAACUUCCCNUGNGAAUGGCC
rnacentral:rRNA from 1 species